CAAAAUGUAGCUUAAUACAAAGCCCCUUGCUUACGCCGAGGAAAUGUCUGCUUACCCGGACCAUUUUGA
rnacentral:tRNA from 2 species